UUGGCGGCUUUUGGUGGAAAGAUUUAUCAUAACACAUUGAUGCCUUCUGAAUAACAGACUUUCAUGUCCCUUCUAAGUGACAUGUGAAGUCUCUACAAUAUUAGUAGUUUUCAGGUUGGCCAAGCAUGAAGAUGCUGUUACUAUUAUAUUGAAGUGCACUAUAGAAAAUUCAAAGAACUCAUGUAAAAAGAUGGGGGAGGGACCCCCAGCAUCUUUGAAUUUGAAUUAGAUAUUUUGGUUCUGGACAAAACAUGUGUGUGUGCACGGGCAUGCACGGGCGUGUGGGCAUGCACGGGCGCGUGUGCGCGCGCGCGCACACACACCGAGGGAAUGUGAUUAGUUGCUCUGGUGAUGGAAAAGGUGUUAAAACAAAAAAAAAAGAAAAGGCUGCUACAAGAAAAUUUUUUUUCCUUUAACUUAAAUGUUCAAAUGGACCAUUCAUAUUUAGCUGGGGAAAUAGCUAUGCCUUUUUCAAUGAGUAACAGGUCACAUAAAAUCAAUAAGCUCAAAAGUUAUGUGAUCCAGAUGUUUGUCCAGUGUUUCAAAGUUGCUAUAAGGACCUCAAAAACAGUUUUUGGUUUAUCAUUGACUGGUUCACUUUCAUAAUUUGUUGUUUACAAGAUAAAGUGUUAUAUUUGGAUGAAUUUGGGGUUUUGCUUAAAAUAUAGAGAUAUUCUGGUUAAUGAAUAAUCCUUGACUGGGAGAGCCAGCAGUGACAUUUGGACAGCAGAGGUAGAAUUGGAGAAGACAAGUCUGAGAUUGCAUAUGGAAUAGAAUGGCUUUGGGGGAUGCCUUAGCAAUGAGACUUGUGGAAGAGAGAGAAUGGAAUCAAUUAGACAAAGGAGCCUCAUUACAGCCUCAAUAAGGACAGCUCCAGCUGAGUUAGUUCUUGAGGAGCUCUGGAGUGAGAAUAACCCUUCAGCUGUGUUUUGGGUUAGCCUGGCUUUUAUACCAACAAAUCAAUCAGUCGCUGUAUGUCUGUCACCCUGGGAAUGGCAUGACCUUGGGCGAGGCACCUUUCCUUAGGAGAGACAAGUAGCUGGAGUCUUUCUUCCAGGAGCAUAUUGCCAGCAACAGGAAACAAAUUCUUCAUGUAGAGGAGUGAGUAUACAUGACAAUGUGUGUGUGUGUGUGGGGGGGGCAGGGAGGAAGAGAAAGGAAGGGAGAGUUGGAGAUAGGAAAGGAAAGAGAGAGAGAGACAGAGCAAGCAAGCUAGUGAGUGAAUGAGAUAGCAUUAUUAACUAUAAUUAGACUGAUACAGGGGGUCUUACUGCUGUCCUGUUUAUGUGGCUCAAUCUGGAUGGAAUAAUGAGCAUUGAACAGAAGAUGGCAGUAUAGUGCCAAUUUCGAUGUGCUUUUAUGUAGCUCAAAUUUCAGAGGUAAGAAAGUAGAAUCAUCUUAUUGUUUUAAUAAAGAAAAAGAGCAAGAAAGAUGAGAUGCUGUUUUCAUGUUUUUUUUCUCACAGCUGAAAUACUUUGAAGAGGUGACAUGUGGUGUGUGUGUGUAUACGUGCAGUGCAGUGCAUGUUGGCAGCUACAAAGGAGAUCAGAUGGCAUUACCUCUGGAACUGAAGAGGCUGUGAUAGCACAAGCAUCUCAGCAGAGGGCAUUGUAAGAUCAGCAACGUUGUUAGCUUUGGGGCUGUGGCGACCUGGAUGCAGAUACAGAAUCUUCCAGUAGAUGGCGUUUUCCCCUUACACUUACAGCAAGUUUGGCCAAGAGGAGAGUCUGCACUGAACCUCUGUUAUUAACGAAGGCUCCAGGGGAUCCCGGUUCUUUCCCUGGUCUGGAGCUGAGCACAGGGGGUUUUCUUUGCGUUUGGGUGGGCUUAGGACCAGUGGUCAGCGAGGUCGUUUUCUCUCUGCUUUUGCUCCGGUGUGAGUAGAUGUGAAUUGGCAGGCCCUGCUGGCAAGGCCACAGUAAGCUGUAACUCGGGUGACACUGCUGUUAAGUCUGGUGACACUGAUGUGCUGGAGUCGAACAGCAGGAAGAACCAUCACAAAUUAAGUGUCCUUUACUGGAUACCCAACUUGUAUUUGGUACCAAGAGAGGAACUUUUGAUCAAAUUAUUUUAUGUAGUUUUCACAGUAACUUUGCAAGUAAGUUUCCAUUGUUGUCUACAUUAAAAAAAUUGGUAAUUGUUAUAUGCACACAGUAACAUUUUAUUGAAUACAUCUCUUUUUUAACAAUAAAAAUGUGAAGUGUUU